CCUACGGGUGGCAGCAGUGAGGAAUAUUGGUCAAUGGACGAGAGUCUGAACCAGCCAAGUAGCGUGAAGGAUGAUUGCCCUAUGGGUUGUAAACUUCUUUUAUAUGGGAAUAAAAUGUUCAACGUGGGGGAUUUUGUAUGUACCAUAUGAAUAAGGAUCGGCUAACUCCGUGCCAGCAGCCGCGGUAAUACGGAGGAUCCGAGCGUUAUCCGGAUUUAUUGGGUUUAAAGGGAGCGUAGGUGGAUUGUUAAGUCAGUUGUGAAAGUUUGCGGCUCAACCGUAAAAUUGCAGUUGAAACUGGCAGUCUUGAGUACAGUAGAGGUGGGCGGAAUUCGUGGUGUAGCGGUGAAAUGCUUAGAUAUCACGAAGAACUCCGAUUGCGAAGGCAGUUCACUGGACUGCAACUGACACUGAGGCUCGAAAGUGUGGGUAUCAAACAGGAUUAGAUACCCCGGUAGUC
rnacentral:rRNA from 1 species